GGAUGAACGUUGGCGGUGUGCCUAAUACAUGCAAGUCGAACGAAGACUGUAGCAAUACUGUCUUAGUGGCGAACGGGUGAGUAACGCGUUGGUGAUCUGCCUCGAAGUGUGGAAUAACCUCCCGAAAGGGAUGCUAAUACCGCAUGGUCUCUCAAGGUUUAGAAAAUUGAGAGUAAAGGAUUUAUUCGCUUCGAGAGGAGCCUGCGUCCCAUCAGCUGGUUGGUAGGGUAACGGCCUACCAAGGCUAUGACGGGUAGGGGACCUGAGAGGGUGGCCCCCCACAAUGGAACUGAAACACGGUCCAUACACCUACGGGUGGCAGCAGUAGGGAAUAUUAGAAAUGGGCGAAAGCCUGAUCUAGCAACACCGCGUGUGCGAUGAAGGCCUUCGGGUUGUAAAGCACUUUUUGGAGGGAAUAGGAAGGAAGGUACCUCCAGAAUAAGUCUCGGCUAACUACGUGCCAGCAGCCGCGGUAACACGUAGGGGGCGAGCGUUGUUCGGAAUUACUGGGCGUAAAGGGCAUGUAGGCGGCUUGGUAAGCCUGGCGUGAAAGUCUGCAGCUUAACUGUAGGGAUGCGUUGGGAACUGCUUAGCUUGAGUUACGGAGAGGGAGCUGGAAUUCCUGGUGUAGGGGUGAAAUCUGUAGAUAUCAGGAAGAACACCGAUGGCGAAGGCAAGCUUCUGGCCGACAACUGACGCUGAGGUGCGAAAGUGUGGGGAUCAAACAGGAUUAGAUACCCUGGUAGUCCACACAGUAAACGAUGUGCACGAGGUGCUGGGGCGGUAGUUUCAGUGCCGGAGCGAACGCGGUAAGUGCACCGCCUGGGGAGUAUGCUCGCAAGGGUGAAACUCAAAGGAAUUGACGGGGGCCCGCACAAGCGGUGGAGCAUGUGGUUUAAUUCGAUGGUACACGAGGAACCUUACCUGGGUUUGACAUACGGAGGGAAGUGGCAGAGAUGUCACUGCGUAGAGAUACGGCUCCGUACAGGUGCUGCAUGGCUGUCGUCAGCUCGUGUCGUGAGAUGUUCGGUUAAGUCCGCUAACGAGCGCAACCCGCGCUGUGUGUUACAAGUGUCACAUAGUACCGCCGGUAUUAAGUCGGAGGAAGGUGCGGAUGACGUCAAGUCAGCAUGACCUUUAUAUCCAGGGCUACACACACGCUACAAUGGUCAGCACAAUAGGUUGCCAAGCCGCAAGGCGGAGCCAAUCCUCCAAAGCUGGCCUCAGUUCAGAUUGCAGGCUGCAACUCGCCUGCAUGAAGUCGGAGUUGCUAGUAACCGCAGGUCAGCAUACUGCGGUGAAUACGUUCCCGGGGAU
rnacentral:rRNA from 1 species